GAUGAACGCUGGCGGCGUGCCUAAUACAUGCAAGUCGAGCGAACAGACGAGGAGCUUGCUCCUCUGACGUUAGCGGCGGACGGGUGAGUAACACGUGGAUAACCUACCUAUAAGACUGGGAUAACUUCGGGAAACCGGAGCUAAUACCGGAUAAUAUAUUGAACCGCAUGGUUCAAUAGUGAAAGACGGUUUUGCUGUCACUUAUAGAUGGAUCCGCGCCGCAUUAGCUAGUUGGUAAGGUAACGGCUUACCAAGGCAACGAUGCGUAGCCGACCUGAGAGGGGGAGCCGGCCCACUGGGAAAUGGACACGGUCCCAGCCCCCAAGGGGGGGCAGAGUAGGGAAACUUUCCGAAGGGGGGGAAACCUUAAGGGGCAAACGCGGGGGAGGUAAGAAGGGUUUUGGAAUUGAAAACCCUUGUUUUUGGGAAAAAAAAAAUUGGAAGGAACCUUGCACCUUCUUGCCGGUCCUAAACAAAAAAGCACCGGCAACCUACUG
rnacentral:rRNA from 1 species